AUCCCUAUAAAAAGGGACUGGAACAGGCCUACAGUAGCAACAACUUGAUUGUCUUACAAACCGACAACCAAAGUAACAUAGAAACACCAAAAAGUUCUUUUUUUUAAUUUUGCAGCUUUACAAGCAGUUAUACAAAAUGAACAAGAUGGUCUGUCUCGGGUGUUUGGCUCUUGCCUCAUGUAUCGGUAUGGCUGUUGGUUAUGGCAGUGUUAUGACAGGGCAGAAAAAGUUCACAGCUUAUCCCUAUAUGGCUAACAUGGGUUCCAUGGGCUAUGGGUAUGUGCCUCACAUGGCGGGACCUUCAGGGUUCGGAGGUUUUCUUGGCGGUGCCGGAGGCUCGUCUGGGGGCAUGGGCGGAAUGUUUGGAAGUAUAAUUCAAUUGUUCCUUUUUAUUUUUGUGAUCAACAUCUUGUUCUCGACUCUGGGCUCUGGUCUUGGAUCUGGCGGUCUUAAUAUCGGCAAGAAAUCCUCAUAUGCUAGCACUCACGGCGACAACUACUAAAUGUAGUAAAUGUAGUAACAGGAAAAUCAGAUGAAAAAUCAGUUCAUCAAACGAAGCAGGCGUUUCCACAAACAGCGAAUUCAAUUGUGAUGUAAAAUGUAAAAAAAAAAAUAGUAAAGUUAAUAAAAAAAUAGUAAAACAUUA
rnacentral:lncRNA from 1 species